rnacentral:rRNA from 1 species
AAAAACAUGUCCUUUUGUUUAUGAUUUAAGGUCUGACCUGCCCAAUGAUUAUUUGAAUGGCCGCAGUAUUUUGACUGUGCAAAGGUAGCAUAAUCAUUAGUUUUUUAAAUGGAAGCUGGUAUGAAUGGUUUGAUGAGAAAGUUACUGUCUCAAUAUAAUUGGUUUUGAAUUUUAAUUUUAAGUUAAAAAGCUUAAAUGUUUUAGAAAGACGAGAAGACCCUAUAGAGUUUUAUUUUUUAUUUAUAAUAAUUUUUAUUGGUUUUAUUAUUUUAUUUUAUUUAAAGAAUUUUGUUGGGGUGAUGUAAAAAUUUGGUUAACUUUUUAUUUAUUAAUACAUAUAUUUAUGAGUUUUUGAUCCUUUAUUAGAGAUUAUAAGAUUAAAUUACCUUAGGGAUAACAGCGUAAUUUUUUUGGAGAGUUCUUAUCGAUAAAGAAGUUUGCGACCUCGAUGU